AGAACAAGUGCUAUCCUAAAUAGCCGAUAUUUAUUUUGCUUUCCGAGUAGUGUCUCUCCCGAGGCACUUUUUUUUGCCU
rnacentral:ncRNA from 1 species